AGUGAACGCUGGCGGUAGGCCUAACGCAUGCAAGUCGAACGGCAGCACAGUAAGAGCUUGCUCUUACGGGUGGCGAGUGGCGGACGGGUGAGGAAUACAUCGGAAUCUACUUUUUCGUGGGGGAUCACGUAGGGAAACUUACGCUAAUACCGCAUACGACCUACGGGUGAAAGCAUGGGAUCUUCGGACCUUGCGCGAUUGAAUGAGCCGAUGUCGGAUUAGCUAGUUGGCGGGGUAAAGGCCCACCAAGGCGACGAUCCGUAGCUGGUCUGAGAGGAUGAUCAGCCACACUGGAACUGAGACACGGUCCAGACUCCUACGGGAGGCAGCAGUGGGGAAUAUUGGACAAUGGGCGCAAGCCUGAUCCAGCCAUAGCGCGUGGGUGAAGAAGGCCUUCGGGUUGUAAAGCCCUUUUGUUGGGAAAGAAAAGCAGCAGGUUAAUACCCCGCUGUUCUGACGGUACCCAAAGAAUAAGCACCGGCUAACUUCGUG
rnacentral:rRNA from 1 species